rnacentral:lncRNA from 1 species
GGACCACAACUGCAAAGCCUGCCACCAAGUGCGACUUCCAGUGGGCCAACAGGAACAGGAAAGGCACAGGCAGGUCCUGUUCAACGCUCAUGUUCCUCGCCGUCGACUCCAUGCAACGUCACCACCAGCAAGGUGUGCUGCUUUAUGACGUACCCUCAAUGCCAGUGCAAGUGUGUGCUGCACCAAAUGAGCUGCUCAGACCCGUGGAAAGCGCUGUGUAAACCACCACAUUUUGUCCAAUGCGAGAAUAAAGCUGGUCAAAGAAUGUGUCGUUGCGCAUUGUUGACCACCGGAUGACUGGAUGGCAGGCAAAGUUAUUGUGCGCAAGACUGCGACUGCGUACAAUAAUUGGCAAUAAACAUUUUUAU